AGAGUUUGAUCAUGGCUCAGAACGAACGCUGGCGGCGUGGAUAAGACAUGCAAGUCGAACGAGACUUUUCGUUGUAGCAAUACGAUGGAAAGUUUAGUGGCGAACGGGUGCUUAACACGUGGGCAACCUGCCAUGAAGUGGGGGAUAGCUCGCCGAAAGGCGAAUUAAUACCGCAUGUGAUUAGAGAGGACAUCCUUUCAAAAUUAAAGUCGGGGCAACCUGACGCUUCUUGUGGGGCCCGCGGCCUAUCAGCUAGUUGGUGAGGUAACGGCUCACCAAGGCUUUGACGGGUAGCUGGUCUGAGAGGACGACCAGCCACACUGGGACUGAGACACGGCCCAGACACCUACGGGUGGCAGCAGUCGAGAAUUUUUGACAAUGGGGGAAACCCUGAUCGAGCGACGCCGCGUGGAGGAUGAAGGUCUUCGGAUUGUAAACUCCUGUCAUUUGGGAACAAGGUGCACACGUUAACUGCGUGAGUAUUGAUAGUACCAGAAGAGGAAGAGACGGCUAACUCUGUGCCGGCAGCCGCGGUAAUACAGAGGUCUCAAGCGUUGUUCGGAUUCAUUGGGCGUAAAGGGUGCGUAGGCGGCGCGGUAAGUCGGGUGUGAAAUCUCGGAGCUUAACUCCGAAACUGCAUUCGAUACUGCCGUGCUUGAGGACUGGAGAGGAGACUGGAAUUUACGGUGUAGCGGUGAAAUGCGUAGAUAUCGUAAGGAAGACCAGUGGCGAAGGCGGGUCUCUGGACAGUUCCUGACGCUGAGGCACGAAGGUCAGGGGAGCAAACGGGAUUAGAUACCCCAGUAGUCC
rnacentral:rRNA from 1 species